GCCGGUGUAGCUCAGCUGGUAGAGCAACUGAUUCGUAAUCAGUAGGUCAUCGGUUCGACUCCGGUCACCGGCACCA
rnacentral:tRNA from 1 species